rnacentral:rRNA from 1 species
UACGAAGGGGGCUAGCGUUGCUCGGAAUCACUGGGCGUAAAGGGUGCGUAGGCGGGUCUUUAAGUCAGGGGUGAAAGCCCGGAGCUCAACUCCGGAACUGCCUUUAAGACUGCAUCGCUAGAAUCAUGGAGAGGUGAGUGGAAUUCCGAGUGUAGAGGUGAAAUUCGUAGAUAUUCGGAAGAACACCAGUGGCGAAGGCGACUCACUGGACAUGUAUUGACGCUGAGGUGCGAAAGCGUGGGGAGCAAACAGG